rfam:Danio rerio chromosome 4, GRCz11 reference primary assembly.
GCAUUGGUGGUUCAGUGGUAGAAUUCUCACCUGCCACGCGGGAGACCCGCGUCCGAUUCCUGGCCGAUGCG